CCAGGACCCGGAGAUGACACAUACACAGCGCUGAACCAAAUGACUAUGUCGCCAGUUUAUGACACUUUGCAAAAUGUUCAAGACCCUGCCAAUGACACCUACUCAGCUCUGAAUCCUGCAACGAUGUCCUCUGAUUAUGACACACUGAGGAAUGUUAAAGAUCCUGCCAAUAACACCUACUCAAGCCUGAAUCCUGCAAUCAUGUCCUCUGAUUACGAUACACUUAGGAAAUGACGCAUUCAGAUGGUUGAAAUCUGC